rnacentral:rRNA from 1 species
AAACGACUUUUGGCAACGGAUAUCCCGGCUCUCGCAUCGAUGAAGAACGUAGCGAAAUGCGAUACUUGGUGUGAAUUGCAGAAUCCCGUGAACCAUCGAGUUUUUGAACGCAAGUUGCGCCCGAUGCCAUUAGGCUGAGGGCACGUCUGCCUGGGUGUCACGU